AACGAACGCUGGCGGCAUGCCUAACACAUGCAAGUCGAACGAGACCUUCGGGUCUAGUGGCGCACGGGUGCGUACCGCGUGGGAACCUGCCCUUAGGUUCGGAAUAACUCCCCGAAAGGGGUGCUCAUACCGGAUAAUGUCUUCGCACCAAAGAUUUAUCGCCUUUGGAUGGGCCCGCGUUGGAUUCGCUAGUUGGUAGGGUAAAAGCCUACCAAGGCGACGAUCCAUAGCUGGUCUGAGAGGAUGAUCAGCCACACUGGGACUGAGACACGGCCCAGACUCCGACGGGAGGCAGCAGUGGGGAAUAUUGGACGAUGGGCGAAAGCCUGAUCCAGCAAUGCCGCGGGAGUGAUGAAGGCCUUAGGGUUGUAAAGCUCUUUUACCCGGGAUGAUAAUGACAGUACCGGGAGAAUAAGCUCCGGCUAACUCCGUG
rnacentral:rRNA from 1 species